CCUACGGGUGGCAGCAGUGAGGAAUAUUGGUCAAUGGACGCAAGUCUGAACCAGCCAUGCCGCGUGCAGGAUGACGGCUCUAUGAGUUGUAAACUGCUUUUGUACGAGGGUAAACCCCGAUACGCGUAUCUGUUUGAAAGUAUCGUACGAAUAAGGAUCGGCUAACUCCGUGCCAGCAGCCGCGGUAAUACGGAGGAUCCAAGCGUUAUCCGGAUUUAUUGGGUUUAAAGGGUGCGUAGGCGGUGUGAUAAGUUAGAGGUGAAAUCCCGAGGCUCAACCUCGGAAUUGCCUCUGAUACUGUUGGACUAGAGAGUAGUUGCGGUAGGCGGAAUGUAUGGUGUAGCGGUGAAAUGCUUAGAGAUCAUACAGAACACCGAUUGCGAAGGCAGCUUACCAAGCUACAUCUGACGUUGAGGCACGAAAGCGUGGGGAGCAAACAGGAUUAGAUACCCUAGUAGUC
rnacentral:rRNA from 1 species